rnacentral:rRNA from 1 species
GAGUUUGAUCAUGGCUCAGGACGAACGCUGGCGGCGUGCUUAACACAUGCAAGUCGAACGAGAAUCUACUGAAAGAGUUUUCGGACAAUGGAAGUAGAGGAAAGUGGCGGACGGGUGAGUAACGCGUGAGGAACCUGCCUUGAAGAGGGGGACGAACAGUUGGAAACGACUGCUAAUACCGCAUGAUGCAUAAGGGUCGCAUGAUUCUUAUGCCAAAGAUUUAUCGCUUCAAGAUGGCCUCGCGUCUGAUUAGCUAGUUGGCGGGGUAACGGCCCACCAAGGCGACGAUCAGUAGCCGGACUGAGAGGUUGAACGGCCACAUUGGGACUGAGAUACGGCCCAGACUCCUACGGGAGGCAGCAGUGGGGAAUAUUGGGCAAUGGGCGCAAGCCUGACCCAGCAACGCCGCGUGAAGGAGAAGGCUUUCGGUAUGUAAACUUCUAUCAGCAGGGAAGAAAAUAGACGGUACCUGACUAAGAAGCCCCGGCCUAACUACGUGCCAGCA